UGAGGAAUAUUGGUCAAUGGGCGAGAGCCUGAACCAGCCAAGUAGCGUGCAGGACGACGGCCCUAUGGGUUGUAAACUGCUUUUAUAUGGGGAUAAAGUGAGUUACGUGUAGCUUAUUGCAGGUACCAUAUGAAUAAGGACCGGCUAAUUCCGUGCCAGCAGCCGCGGUAAUACGGAAGGUCCAGGCGUUAUCCGGAUUUAUUGGGUUUAAAGGGAGCGUAGGCCGCGCGCCAAGUCAGCGGUCAAAGUUCCGGGCUCAACCCGGUGUCGCCGUUGAAACUGGCGUGCUCGAGUGCGUGCGAGGAAGGCGGAAUGCGUUGUGUAGCGGUGAAAUGCAUAGAUAUGACGCAGAACUCCGAUUGCGAAGGCAGCUUUCCAG
rnacentral:rRNA from 1 species